CCUACGGGUGGCAGCAGUGAGGAAUAUUGGUCAAUGGACGCAAGUCUGAACCAGCCAUGCCGCGUGCAGGAAGACGGCUCUAUGAGUUGUAAACUGCUUUUGUACGAGGGCAAACGUACAUACGUGUAUCUGUCUGAAAGGAUCGUACGAAUAAGGAUCGGCUAACUCCGGUCCAGCAGCCGCGGUAAUACGGAGGAUUCAAGCGUUAUCCGGAUUUAUUGGGUUUAAAGGGUGCGUAGGCGGUCGGUUAAGUUAGCGGUGAAAUCCCGAGGCUCAACUUCGGAAUUGCCUUUGAUACUGUUCGGCUAGAGAGUAGUUGGGGUAGGCGGAAUGUAUGGUGUAGCGGUGAAAUGCUUAGAGAUCAUACAGAACACCGAUUGCGAAGGCAGCUUACCGGGCUACUACUGACGUUGAGGCACGAAAGCGUGGGGAGCAAACAGGAUUAGAUACCCCUGUAGUC
rnacentral:rRNA from 1 species